rnacentral:ncRNA from 1 species
GGAUUGGAGCACCAUGGGAAACCUCACCCAGCCUGGACACAGGCAGGACUGACAGAUUGAGAACUGUUUCUCAAUUACAUGGGUGGUGGUGCCUGGCCAUUCUUGGUGGAGUGAUUUGUCUGGUUAUUUCCAAUAACAGACAAGUCUCUGGCAUGCUAACUCGUUACAUGACCCCCCAGUGGUUGAUGUCCAACUUCUUCAAGGGACAAGUGGCAUUCAGCAACAUGAGAUAAAGCAACAACAGGUCUGUGAUGCCCUUUACUGUGAGAGUAACCAGUCCCUGGAACAGGUUGCCCAGAGAUGCUGUGGAAUCUCCAUCCUUGGUGAAAUUCAAAAGCUGUCUGGACAUGGUCCUGGGCAGCUAAGAAGGGGGAGUUGGACCAAAUGACCUGCAAAG